rnacentral:rRNA from 1 species
CCCUUAGAUGUCCUGGGCCGCACGCGCGCUACACUGAUGCAUUCAACGAGUUUAUAACCUUGGUUGAAAAGCCUGGGUAAUCUUUUGAACUUUCGUCGUGAUGGGGCUAGACCCUUGCAAUUAUUGGUCUCCAACGAGGAAUUCCUAGUAAACGCAAGUCAUCAGCUUGCAUUGAUUACGUCCCUGCCCUUUGUACACGCCGCCCGUCGCACCUACCGAUUGAAUGGUCCGGUGAAAUCUUCGGAUUGAGACUUUGAUUUCUUCACGGAAAACGCUGUUUUAAGAAGUUGAUUAAACCUUACCAUUUAGAGGAAGGUGAAGUCGUAACA